AAUCCCGUGAACCAUCGAGUUUUUGAACGCAAGUUGCGCCCGAAGCCUUCGGGCCGAGGGCACGCCUGCCUGGGCGUCACGCAUCGCGUCGCCCCCUCCCCCCGCUCCCCUCGGGGGGCGGGGGGCGGAGGAUGGCCUCCCGUGCGCCACGUCGCGCGGCCGGCCC
rnacentral:rRNA from 1 species